rnacentral:tRNA from 1 species
AAGGGAGACCUAAUUCAGGUAGGAGACGAAAAAAAAGUAGUCGCUACCAAGAAUCAAUCCCAAAAGGUCGGAGCGAGGCGAAAUUGGCUUUCAAACUAGGUUCUGGGUUCACACAAGACCUGAAUCAGGAACAAGGGCUAUUAGCUCAGGUGGUUAGAGCGCACCCCUGAUAAGGGUGAGGUCCCUGGUUCGGGUCCAGGAUGGCCCACCUGCACAGGUGGCAAAAACAAGAGGAGCGAGGAAUCAGCACCUUAUCUUAUCUAUAUAUAUAUAGGAGAGAAUGCUGGCUCUGAGUAAAGAGUCCAGAGGAACCUUGAAAACUGCAUAGAGCUAGGUGAAAAAGCCAAAAAAGAAAACCGCAAGGUCAAGCUAAUAAGGGCUAACGGUGGAUACCUAGGCAC